UUUAUGUUUUAGCAAAUCACAUGUCGCAUCAACAUGGUCUUUACCAGACGAGAAUAUGACACUAUAAUAAUACAGAUAUUGACUACAUUCGAGCGGACCACGGCGGCACAUCCGGCGAAUCACUACCAUAUCACAUGUACAAACUGUUUCCGUUACAAUAUAAACGCCUAAAAGCAUCGUCUAAAGCCAGUUCAAAAUGUCUUUAUUCCAUUGCUUUCAUAUUGUUACAGGACAAGUGUAAACAUAUACACUGGGAGUGUUUCUGAUUUUGUCUCGUCUGUCGUAUGCUUAUUUUAGUAAGCUCCUCUGGUACGAAGUUUAAGGAUUGUUGUGUCUCCGUCCUUCGACCGACUUCAAUUCACCGUCCACUGUUCUUCAUACCCAUAUGGAUUUCUUCAUUCUAGGUCAUUUACAAAGAUGUUUGGUUAUAAUGGCAACCAAAAGGAAAAUUGUGAAAAUCUUCUUUUAGGAAAUCUAUCGAUUUCAAAAUAAUUUCAAAGCAACAUUGCUUGCGUGUCCUUUCACAAAUUUCUUCAAACCAUAUUGAUUUGCAGUAAUACGAGGUCUUUAGAGUUUUAAAAGAAAAUAUUAUAGUUCUUCAUGUCUUUAACCGUUAGCCCAGUUUUGAAAUAACUUCAUACAAAUAUCACUUUGACCAUCUUCUAACAUAUCCUUCUUAUCAUUCCGCUGUGUUAAGUUAUAACAUGAUAUGAGCCGAGUAUCUCAAAACAUCUAAGUUUAGUUUUUGUAACAAUUUGGACGCAAAAAAAGGACAGUUUUAUUAAUUACGUUGGGCUAAGAAUAUAUAUAAAUGGAUAAUACAAAUGAUUGAAUUUGUUCUGAACAUAUGCGUUUUCUCUACAUUUCCUCUCCCUUCCUUUUUAUUCUGGUGAAUAUAGUUUCUUAUACAGCAUUUUAUACCGUUACUUUAUGGGUACCUGAUAUUGCUAAAAUAUUCUAAAUACUAAUAAUUCUGUAUACUAGUACUUUUAUUUCAUCUUUUCUUUCCAUUUUUGUUGUUGUUGUUUUUUCCCCUUUUCAGCAAUAACUCAGCAUGUGUUACACAUUACUAUAACAACCAUCAAUAAGUAUUAUCAUUCCGGAGGCUCACUCGAUAAGUAUUCCAAUACUUCCGUCAAUAUCCUGUUGUUUAUGCGAUAAUGUGUGUAUGUACGUGUAUGAUUGUAUCUUGUGUAAUAUUUACAAUAAAAUAUUCUUAAACUAACGUUUGUUUAUAAUGAUCCCAUGAUCAAAUUGGUUAAUUAAAUGCCCAAAUUUAAUUUCAUAUAUCAAGAAUUUAAUUCAAGUGUGUGAUCGUAAUGUGUGUAAUUUUCAGUGAUGGAUAUGGACAAUUAUAGGACAAAUCAGACGGAUGUAUUUUUUUAAUCAAUGAUAUAUAGAUGAUGACGUGCAUUGCAUGUUAAGUGUGCAAAGAGAAUAAUUUAUCAAGAUUCAUACUAUAACUGCAUCAAAACUCAUACAGUGUAACGUUAUAUUCUAGUCAUUUAGAGUAAGUGUCAACCUAGCAUCGAUCGCUUAUAACUUAACACAUUCACAAUUGGAACUCAGAGGAUAUGAAAUACCAUGGAAACAAAGCUAAUACAAGUGGAAAUUGUGUAAGUAUAGAAUACAUUGAAGUAUGAUCUUUGAUUUGCAAUAUGUCUGAAAUCGCAAAUGUGUGUGAUGACAACAGGUGGACCUUUUGAGGCUUUUGUGAGCUUUGCUGUGGAAAUAACAUUUGCAGUGGAAUCAAAAGUCGGUCUAUUAGUUUCCUGCUAUUUCUGUUUUUCCAGAUUACAGGACUUGGAAUAUUUUUGAUAUAUACUCUGUAUUAUUCAGAUUCCAGUGUUUUAAGUCAAAUAGCAUUUAAGUGGAAUACAGUUAAAAGUAGUGCAAAAAGUAGUGCAGGGGCGAAUAUAAGUGAUUUCGUUAGACAUUCUAAUCUGCGAAUUAAUGAGUCAUUGGGGAAAUUUAAUUACAUACCAGAUCAAAGAAAAAAAACUUUAUACGUGUGGAAAAGAGAUAGUAUAGUUCCUGUUAAACCAUCCGCAUUGCUGUUUUCUGAGAAAGAGAGGGCUCUCGUAAAUGAAGACAUCUGCGAUAAACUAGAGAACCGUACAAAAUACAACAUUACUUUAACAACGUCACCGUUUACGUGAGUCGGGUCCGCCUCCGCACGGUUUGGAUGUUUACAAGAGCUCAACCCAUGUCAUACUUACUAGGAAAUUCGUCGAAUAUUUACUGACCGACGAGAUAGCACAUCGUGUUUUAAUGUGGUCAAGAAAAAUACUGGUACCCGACGAGAUGGUUUUUCCAACACUGAACUGCAACAGGAAGCUUAAGGCACCAGGAUCUUAUGAAGGAUAUACAAAUUUGUACGAUCAUCACAAGAGUUCUUUUUCAAGAUACAAAAUGUGGGGAACGGAAAACACGCAGUGCCACGGGAAAAUCGUGCGGGGCAUAUGUAUAUUUGGGCCACGUGACGUUGAAAAUUUACUGACGAGACAUGAACUUUUCGCCAAUAAAUUUCACUUCAGUGAAUUUCCCGAAGUGCCAUUCUGUUUACGAAAUAUAUUAUUAAAAAGAACUAUUUUAGAAUAUAAAGGGUAUAUGGAUUUUAAUGUAUCAUUUUAUAGCAAUAUACCUUACAAAUGGUAACAUAUUAUUCAAAAUUACAAUCUGUUUUUGUUGGCCAUUAAAAGAAAUUGUUUUCUUUUUAUUCUGUA